GAUGAACGCUGGCGGCGUGCCUAACACAUGCAAGUCGAGCGGGGGAGCACCUUCGGGUGCAACCUAGCGGCGGACGGGUGAGGAACACGUGGAUAACCUGCCUUUGACACAGGAAUAACGACCAGUAAUGGUCGCUAAUGCCUGAUAAGCCUACAUUAUCGCAUGGUAGAGUAGGAAAAGAUUUAUCGGUCAAAGAGGGGUCCGCGGCUGAUUAGCUAGUUGGCGGGGUAACGGCCCACCAAGGCAACGAUCAGUAGCCGGGAUGAGAGUCUGAACGGCCACAUUGGGACUGAGACACGGCCCAAACUCCUACGGGAGGCAGCAGUGGGGAAUAUUGCACAAUGGGCGAAAGCCUGAUGCAGCAACGCCGCGUGAAGGAUGAAGGUUUUCGGAUUGUAAACUUCUUUAGGCAGGAACGAAUAAUGACGGUACCUGCAGAAUAAGCACCGGCUAACUACGUGCCAGCCGCCGCAGUAAAAC
rnacentral:rRNA from 1 species